rnacentral:rRNA from 1 species
UGGCGAAAGGGAAUACGGUACUUAUUNNGUAACCAGGACCNGGAUACGAAGCAGGUGCAAGCGCCUUNCCCUCGGGCGUUGGAAUGCUGCCCUGUGCAGGACCCCGGUAACGGGAACCAGCUCGCGUCCGCCGGCGGUGGUCCGGGAAAGAGUUUUCUUUUCUGUUUAAGGCGCCGUGACCCUGGAAGCCAUUCGCAGAGAGAAAGGGUAUUGGUAACACGGUCUGCCGUAGAGCGCCGCGGUUCUUGCGGCGUCCCGCGUGCCACCGCCGGUCCGUGAAACAUGCGAGGGAGGUAACUGGGGCAGCGCGGGUCUCCAUGCCCGCAACGCCUAGUUUCGGGCCAGUGCGUACCCAUAUCCGCAGCCG